GCCAGCAUGGUGUAGUGGAUAUAGCAUUGGACUAUAACUCUGAAAAUCAGGAUUCAAAUCCCUGCUCAGUCA